UACGUAGGGGGCUAGCGUUGCUCGGAAUCACUGGGCGUAAAGGGUGCGUAGGCGGGUCUUUAAGUCAGGGGUGAAAUCCUGGAGCUCAACUCCAGAACUGCCUUUGAUACUGAAGAUCUUGAGUUCGGGAGAGGUGAGUGGAACUGCGAGUGUAGAGGUGAAAUUCGUAGAUAUUCGCAAGAACACCAGUGGCGAAGGCGGCUCACUGGCCCGAUACUGACGCUGAGGCGCGAAAGCGUGGGGAGCAAACAGGG
rnacentral:rRNA from 1 species